rnacentral:rRNA from 1 species
GUCCUAGCAGUAAACGGUGCACGUUUGGUGUGGGGGGUUCGACCCCUUCUGCGCCGGAGCUAACGCGUUAAACGUGCCGCCUGGGAAGUACGGUCGCAAGAUUAAAACUCAAAGAAAUUGACGGGGACCCGCACAAGCGGUGGAGUAUGUGGCUUAAUUCGAUGCAACGCGAAGAACCUUACCUGGACUUGACAUGCACUGUGUCUACGGUGAAAGCCGUAUAGAGUAGCAAUACUCGCUUUGCACAGGUGCUGCAUGGCUGUCGU